AUUCAAUAAUAAAUAGUCAAGUACAAAAUUAUGUCCCUAGAAUUAACAAUGUGUCAACCAGAUUGGCUUCUAGGGCAUACAUCUAACAGCUAAUCCUAUUGGAUUCAGGUCGUCGAAAAAUGGGUCCCCUCUGGAAUCGUUCGCAGUCUCUGGCAAUCUGGUAGGCUUGGUCUAAAUCAUGAAUUUUCCUUAAGAACAAUUUCCUUUGAAUGUCCUCCUUAAGAUCAGCUCUAAACCUAGAUAGGGUUACGGCUUCUGACUCGACUAUGUUGCACCUCAUAGCGAACUCAUCAAAUUUGG
rnacentral:lncRNA from 1 species